AGUCAGAAGCCGGAAGGGUCUCACUCAACUCAUCCCCAAGGUCUCUGGGCAGAAGGGACAAGGGAAAACCUGCCUCCCAAACACCCCACUCGGCACCCCACUCCCCGGAUGCAAGAUGCAGCUGUGCAUAGCGGCAGCAGUGAGGACCCUGGCCUGGCAGGCCCCCACAUCCCUUGCUGAGGGCUCCAGGGGCCAGGGCUGCUCAACAGGACCAAGAGGAAAUGACCACAGGAGCCCCCAGCUGCUGGGGGUGGCCCCCGCGGUUUCCUGGGCCAUUUCUGGUGAACCCACUCCAAAUCUGGAAGAGGCCCAAGCCCUCUCGCUCCCCGUAUCCCAAACCCCAGCCACGCCAGCCAGGAGCCUUGGGGGAUGAGAAAAAAUUCAAUUAAGCCCCACUGUGCUGGGUGACAUAGGACCCAGAAGGAGAGGGGCCCCUGGACUGCUCAAGUUUAAUGAUAACUUCAGCAGCUGGGUCCCCAAGUUAAUUAGCUCUUUCCUCCCCAGCAGUCCUCGGGGAGCACCACGGUGAGCUGUGAGGAGCCAGCCCAGCACGGCACACACAACGAACAGAGAAGGAGCUUCUACUGCUUAACCAGAUGUAGAAACUGACGCACGCACAGAGAGGUCACGUGUGAUAUGGUUUGGACGUUGUCCCCUCCAAAUCUCAUGCUGAAAUGUGAUCCCUGAUGUUGGAGACAAAAGACCAUAGCUCUAGG
rnacentral:lncRNA from 10 species